rnacentral:rRNA from 1 species
UACGUAGGGGGCAAGCGUUGUCCGGAUUUAUUGGGCGUAAAGAGCGUGUAGGCGGCCAGGUAGGUCCGUUGUGAAAACUCGAGGCUCAACCUCGAGACGCCGAUGGAAACCAUCUGGCUAGAGUCCGGGAGAGGAGAGUGGAAUUCCUGGUGUAGCGGUGAAAUGCGCAGAUAUCAGGAAGAACACCGGUGGCGAAGGCGGGUCUCUGGGCAGUAACUGGCGCUGAGGAGCGGAAGCGUGGGGAGCGAACAGG